AUGAAGAACUCCGAGGAAUGGAAGCGAUACAAAAGACCACCUUCUGAACAAGAAUACUCUGAGGAUGUCAGUCAGCUCCGCCAUGGUCUAAAUGUAGAGCCUAGCAGGGAGGAGCUCAAUCAUUUGCCAAAGGCAUGCUGUCCGCUAUGGGAGCUUGACCUGAACCGUCUCCUUCCUGGUAACGACUACACAAUCGAAUGUGGCCAAGGGAAGAAGGUUUAUCAGAAGGGUGACAUGGCAUCUGAAAACUUGUUCAGCUGGCUGAAGGAUGACGUACUGCGGAGGCCUACAUACUGUCGCUUUUGUGCACUUGUGGACAACUACAACCCACGCCAAGGAUACAAGGAAUUAGUCACUCAGCAGGACAAGAAUGAAGAAGCUGCUUUUAUUGAGGAGAUUGCUAGAAGUGCACCAAUCAAAUACUUACACCGGUAUCUGGUGCUGAAGGGAAUCACGUCUCAGGACCAGAAGGACUUCAAGAAAAUGCUGGCAUCCCUGUGGUUUAAUUUGUAUGGAAGGGGUGAUUCUGGUAGCUCUUCUGCCUUUGAGCAUGUCUUUGUAGGAGAGAUCAAGGGGCGGUGUCGAGGUGAGGAUGAGGUCACAGGCUUCCACAACUGGAUUCAGUUUUACCUGGAAGAAUCCAAAGGCAAUGUGGAUUACCAAGGGUACAUAUUUCCAAAGAAAUGCGGGGACCUGCCAGACUCUGAGACACAGCUGCUCACCAUUCAGUUUGAGUGGCAUGGCUUGCUGAAAUCUGUACCCAGCACAUUGGUUGGUAGUCCUGAGUUUGAGAUUGCACUCUACACGCUCUGCUUCUUGGGUAUUUUGGUUUGGCACUUCUGUCAAAGAGUGCAUACUUACUUUGGCAUAAUAGUUCAAAAUAACAUCACAUAA
rnacentral:rRNA from 1 species